UUAUCGGAGAGUUUGAUCCUGGCUCAGGACGAACGCUGGCGGCGUGCCUAAUACAUGCAAGUCGAGCGGAUUGAUGGGAGCUUGCUCCCRUCAAUCAGCGGCGGACGGGUGAGUAACACGUGGGUAACCUGCCUGUAAGACUGGGAUAACUCCGGGAAACCGGGGCUAAUACCGGAUAACUCAUUUCCUCGCAUGAGGAAAUGUUGAAAGGUGGCUUUUAGCUAUCACUUACAGAUGGACCCGCGGCGCAUUAGCUAGUUGGUGAGGUAACGGCUCACCAAGGCGACGAUGCGUAGCCGACCUGAGAGGGUGAUCGGCCACACUGGGACUGAGACACGGCCCAGACUCCUACGGGAGGCAGCAGUAGGG
rnacentral:rRNA from 1 species